CACAUUUCUUGAGUGUCCCAGAUAAUUGGUGCUUGCAGAGAUCCUCUGAACCUUGUCAACUUUGUGGCAUCUCUUCUCAAUCAGAGUCUGAAAAGCAAGGAGGAUUAAAUGGGUUUUCUGAGUAGUUGAUGUUUGUAUGGCUCAUGAUUUUUGCUGUAAAUAGAACUUUGUCACAGUUAUAUGGUUAUCACCCCAUUAUUUGGCGAUUUUUAGCAUAUUUGUGGGGAUAGUUUUGUUCUUA
rnacentral:misc_RNA from 1 species